rnacentral:rRNA from 1 species
AACGAACGCUGGCGGCGUGCCUAACACAUGCAAGUCGAACGAGACCUUCGGGUCUAGUGGCGCACGGGUGCGUAACGCGUGGGAAUCUGCCCUUUGCUUCGGAAUAACAGUUAGAAAUGACUGCUAAUACCGGAUGAUGUCUUCGGACCAAAGAUUUAUCGGCAAAGGAUGAGCCCGCGUAGGAUUAGGUAGUUGGUGGGGUAAAAGGCCUACCAAGCCGACGAUCCUUAGCUGGUCUGAGAGGAUGAUCAGCCACACUGGGACUGAGACACGGCCCAGACUCCUACGGGAGGCAGCAGUGGGGAAUAUUGGACAAUGGGCGAAAGCCUGAUCCAGCAAUGCCGCGUGAGUGAUGAAGGCUUCGGUCGUAAGCUCUUUACCUAGGGAGUGAUAAUAGACAGUAACCUGGAGGAAUAAAGACUCCGGCUAACUACCGUGCCAG